rnacentral:misc_RNA from 1 species
AUUACUCCAAUUAGGAUCAGUCUGUACUAGGACAAUCAAAAUACAACCAAAAGCCAGAUGACUACUUCAGUAAACUUGCUAUAAAAGCAACUGCAAUUUCAAACAACAAUGACAAAAUUAAGACCUAAGGGCCAUUCACACUUACGAACAACCAGAAGAUAAUUAAAGAUUAUCCAAAAGAUUAAUGGAAAAGUAAAAUAAGCUUCGAGAGCAUUUGACAAGCCAUGACAAGGAGAAGAGCAGACACUAGACUAAUUCAUUCGUAAUAAAACUUCUUUAAA